GUCGGGAUAGCUCAGCUGGUGWGCAGAGGACUG
rnacentral:tRNA from 1 species